CUGGGGUAGCCCCUCGCGCGAAAGUAAAAGCGUCUAUCCCCCCAGAACACACCUCUCGCUCCCAAACUCCCCUUUCCCUGGCUGGGAAGACAGGUGUGCACGUCUGGGCAAGUAAAUUAACGUUGGUGAGGGGCUGUAAGGCGGGCUCACCAUUCCCCAAUUAUAGCCCCAACUGGCCUAGGUCCUAGAACUGCAACCAGGCGACCCUCCCUCCACAUGAGCCCUCGACCUCGAACCUCGGUCACUGCACUUAACAUGGCGGCCAAGCUCCCGUCUUCUGGACCGCAAGAUAAGCGCAGACCCCGCAAGGGCACACAAGGAGGCAACUGUUCCAGGCAGGGGGAGGGGAGGAGGGCGGCAGUAGAGCAUGCCACCCGGAGAAACCCUAGACCUCGGAGACUGGGAGGCUCGGACCACGCUGGCUCUCCCCUCCCAGCACCCACCUCAGGCCAGGACUGCGCUCGCAGGCGGCCCCCAGGCUCUGGGCCGGUGAGCCCUCCCCACCCUGGGGCAGAGACAAACAGCUAAGAGCCCGGAGGGGAUGCGCAGCUGGGAACAGCAGGCCCCACAGGCCGCGUCCUCGUGAAAAGCACACAAACUCGACCGAGCCUCCAUCACGCCAUGUGACGAUGGCGAGCCUGCUACCCUUGACACAAAGGGAGCUUAGGGAGUCCCUGGGGAGGCAGGGAGUCGGCGCCAGGGAACCACACCAGUUCACCUCCAGAGCUGCCAACUCCUAAGCUCUCGCAUCCCACGACCAACACUCACACUCAGCCUACGGGGUCGCCCUCCCCUCGCCCGCCCAAAACAUCCCAUCUCACCUG
rnacentral:lncRNA from 1 species